rnacentral:rRNA from 1 species
GCUACCAUGCAGUCGAACGGAGUGAUGGUGCUUGCACCAUCACUUAGUGGCGAACGGGUGAGUAAUGCCUAGGAAUCUGCCCAUUAGCGGGGGAUAACGUGUGGAAACGCACGCUAAUACCGCAUACGCCCUACGGGGGAAAGCAGGGGAAUCUUUUAGAUCCUUGCACUAAUGGAUGAGCCUAGGUCGGAUUAGCUAGUUGGUGGGGUAAAGGCCUACCAAGGCGACGAUCUGUAGCGGGUCUGAGAGGAUGAUCCGCCACACUGGGACUGAGACACGGCCCAGACUCCUACGGGAGGCAGCAGUGGGGAAUAUUGGACAAUGGGGGAAACCCUGAUCCAGCCAUGCCGCGUGUGUGAAGAAGGCCUUUUGGUUGUAAAGCACUUUAAGCGAGGAGGAGGGUACCCUGAUUAAUACUCAGGAGUAUCGGACGUUACUCGCAGAAUAAGCACCGGCUAACUCUGUGCCAGCAGCCGCGGUAAUACAGAGGGUGCGAGCGUUAAUCGGAAUUACUGGGCGUAAAGCGCGCGUAGGCGGCUUAUUAAGUCGGAUGUGAAAGCCCUGAGCUUAACUUAGGAAUUGCAUUCGAUACUGGUAAGCUAGAGUAUGGGAGAGGAAGGUAGAAUUCCAGGUGUAGCGGUGAAAUGCGUAGAUAUCUGGAGGAAUACCGAUGGCGAAGGCAGCCUUCUGGCCUAAUACUGACGCUGAGGUGCGAAAGCAUGGGGAGCAAACAGGAUUAGAUACCCUGGUAGUCCAUGCCGUAAACGAUGUCAACUAGCCGUUGGGGGAUUUGAUCCUUUAGUGGCGAAGCUAACGCGAUAAGUUGACCGCCUGGGGAGUACGGUCGCAAGACUAAAACUCAAAUGAAUUGACGGGGGCCCGCACAAGCGGUGGAGCAUGUGGUUUAAUUCGAUGCAACGCGAAGAACCUUACCUGGUCUUGACAUAGUAAGAAUCUUGCAGAGAUGCGAGAGUGCCUUCGGGAAUUUACAUACAGGUGCUGCAUGGCUUCUCAGCUC